AAGUGAGUAAGUCCUCCCUGAAAGAAUGAGGCUGCCGGAUGGUGGAUGGAACAAGUAAGAGAGGGUUCACGA
rfam:Methanospirillum hungatei JF-1, complete genome.